UCUGUGAACGUUACCAAACUGUUGCCUCGGCGGGAUCUCUGCCCCGGGUGCGUCGCAGCCCCGGACCAAGGCGCCCGCCGGAGGACCAACCAAAACUCUUAUUGUAUACCCCCUCGCGGGUUUUUUACUAUCUGAGCCAUCUCGGCGCCCCUCGUGGGCGUUUCGAAAAUGAAUCAAAACUUUCAACAACGGAUCUCUUGGUUCUGGCAUCGAUGAAGAACGCAGCGAAAUGCGAUAAGUAAUGUGAAUUGCAGAAUUCAGUGAAUCAUCGAAUCUUUGAACGCACAUUGCGCCCGCCAGUAUUCUGGCGGGCAUGCCUGUCCGAGCGUCAUUUCAACCCUCGAACCCCUCCGGGGGGUCGGCGUUGGGGAUCGGCCCUUUACGGGGCCGGCCCCGAAAUACAGUGGCGGUCUCGCCGCAGCCUCUCCUGCGCAGUAGUUUGCACACUCGCAUCGGGAGCGCGGCGCGUCCACAGCCGUUAAACACCCCAAACUUCUGAAAUGUUGAGGACCUCGGAUCAGGUAGGAAUACCAGCUGAACU
rnacentral:rRNA from 1 species